GCAAGUCGAACGGUAACAUUUCUAGCUUGCUAGAAGGUGACGAGUGGCGGACGGGUGAGUAAUGCUUGGGAACUUGCCUUUGCGAGGGGGAUAACAGUUGGAAACGACUGCUAAUACCGCAUAAUGUCUUCGGACCAAACGGGGCUUCGGCUCCGGCGCAAAGAGAGGCCCAAGUGAGAUUAGCUAGUUGGUAAGGUAACGGCUUACCAAGGCGACGAUCUCUAGCUGUUCUGAGAGGAAGAUCAGCCACACUGGGACUGAGACACGGCCCAGACUCCUACGGGAGGCAGCAGUGGGGAAUAUUGCACAAUGGGGGAAACCCUGAUGCAGCCAUGCCGCGUGUGUGAAGAAGGCCUUCGGGUUGUAAAGCACUUUCAGUUGUGAGGAAAAGUUAGUAGUUAAUACCUGCUAGCCGUGACGUUAACAACAGAAGAAGCACCGGCUAACUCCGUGCCAGCAGCCGCGGUAAUACGGAGGGUGCGAGCGUUAAUCGGAAUUACUGGGCGUAAAGCGCACGCAGGCGGUUUGUUAAGCUAGAUGUGAAAGCCCCGGGCUCAACCUGGGAUGGUCAUUUAGAACUGGCAGACUAGAGUCUUGGAGAG
rnacentral:rRNA from 1 species